rnacentral:tRNA from 1 species
GGGUCGGUACGCGAAGCGGCCAAACGCAUCUGGCUGUAAACCAGACGGCUUUAUGCCUUCGGGGGUUCGAAUCCCUCCCGGCCCA